CAGCAUAAGUUCGUUGGUGAGUUGGUC
rnacentral:sRNA from 1 species